GACGAACGCUGGCGGCGUGCCUAAUACAUGCAAGUCGAGCGGAUGGAAGGAAGCUUGCUUCCUAAAGUCAGCGGCGGACGGGUGAGUAACACGUGGGCAACCUGCCCCUAAGAUCGGGAUAACUUCGGGAAACCGGAGCUAAUACCGGAUAUGAUUAUGUCUCACAUGAGACAUAAUGGAAAGACGGUUUCGGCUGUCACUUAGGGAUGGGCCCGCGGCGCAUUAGCUAGUUGGUGAGGUAACGGCUCACCAAGGCGACGAUGCGUAGCCGACCUGAGCGGGUGCUCGGCCACACUGGGACUGAGACACGGCCCAGACUCCUACGGGAGGCAGCAGUAGGGAAUCUUCCGCAAUGGACGAAAGUCUGACGGAGCAACGCCGCGUGAGUGAAGAAGGUUUUCGGAUCGUAAAACUCUGUUGUUAGGGAAGAACAAGUACCAUAGUAACUGAUGGUACCUUGACGGUACCUAACCAGAAAGCCAUGGCUAACUACGUGCCAGCCGCCGCCGUAA
rnacentral:rRNA from 1 species